rnacentral:lncRNA from 1 species
AUUGUGUGUAAUAUUUGCUGUAGACUUUUUUCUCCUGAAAUUGAGAUGACCAUAUGUUUUUCCCCUUUAACCUGUUCAUAUCAUUAAUUGCAUUAAUGAUUUUCUAAUGUGAAACCAACCUCUGUUUCUGAGAAAAACCAAACUUGGUCACAUGUUUUAGUAAUUAUUCUAAUGAAGGAUAUGGACUUUUUAUUUUUCUUUCUUGUAUUCAUUGUCCUUAUUAGGUUAUGAUACCUAGGUUAUAACAGAUUCAUAAAAUUAGUCACAGAGAGUACAGACUUUUUCUGUUCUCUGAAAUAGUUUGUGUAAGAUUAGAACUCUUUGUUACUGCAUUGGUUUUUAUAAAAUUGCUGAUAUUUUUCUAAACUUAAAAAUACAUUGGGAAGUUUGUACACUUUUCAGACUUUUGUGUCAAGUGCAUCAUCAUCAUAUUUAAUGCCUUUAAUUAUUCAAUCCAGGGAGGUUGGAGGUAUUAACUUCUCCUUUUUUUUCUGGUAGAGAAAAUGAAGCUGAACAGGUUAUAGAUAAAUCUAAAGAUUAUAUAGCCACUAAAUGGCAGACUAGAACUUGAAUCAAGACUUCCUGGCUCUGAAUCCAUUGCACCACGUUUACAUUGAUGGUCUCAGGAAGUAUUGAUAGUUGGCUGACAUGGUUUUAAAUUCUUUGGAAAAAAAUUUAUAUCGCUUCUGUCUCUUUUGAUGUUAUUGCUUGCCAUCACUUUUUUACUUUUUUUCUUUUUGCCCCACAAUUUGUUAUUUCUAAAAUGUGCUCUCAGAGACAACAUAAGUUACAAUUUUGUAACAGUGGAUAUGCUCUGAGGGUCUGAGCGCCAUUCCUAGAAGUGACUAGCAUUAGCUUCCUUUUUUGUUGUUGUUGUUUUUGUUUUUGCUUUUUAGGGCUGCACUCUUGGCAAAUGGAGGUUCCCAGGUUAGGGGUCAAAUCGGAGCUACAGUUACAGGCCUACACCACAGCCACAGGAUCUGAGCUGCAUCUGUGACCUACACCACAGUUCAGGGCAACGCUAGAUCCUUAAUUCACUGAGCGAGGCCAGGGAUUGAACCUGCAACCUCAUGGUUCCUAGCUGGAUUUGUUUCCACUGCACCAUGAAGGGAACUCCAAACACGAGCUUCUUAACAUCCAUUUUCCAUGCUAAGCUUUUAUCUUUGUUUCUGUUAUGAAAUUUUCGGAUUAUGAGACUGGAUUAUUUUUCUAGCAUUGAUUAGAUUAUAAAAUCUUUGAGAACUUCUUAUACAUUUCCAUAUCCCCAGUUCCAAACACCAUGCCUUACACAACACCACACACUCAUGAAAUGAAGGCUAUGGUAAUGAUUUUGUAAAACACAUGAUAAAUCAGAAUCCUCAGUUCUCUUUUUGACUGUGUCAGGAACUCUCUAUAUUGCUUAAUUUCAAAAGCCUUCAGUUUCUCAUCUGUAAAAAGGAGGAAUAUAAUUUCAUUUUCUCUAAUGACCCAACCAAUUCCAAAAUGCUAUACCGUAACUGAUAAAUAUCAUCUUACAGUUAAUGCUGAUAACAAUUAAAAUUGUCUUGAGAUAUUCUCUUUGUGAAAAAAUUCAACACCAGUUAUGUCGUGUCAAUGAAUGAAAUAUGUAAUAUGUUAAGACAUAUCAUUUGGAGUUCUUGUCAUGGCUCAGCAGAAAUGAAUCUGGCUAGCAUCCAUGAGGAUGCAGGUUCGAUCCCUGGCUUUGCUCAGUGGGUCAAGGUGUAGCUUGCAGACAAAGCUUGGAUCCUUUGCUGCUGUGGCUGUGGUAUAUAGGCCGGCAGGUACGGCUCCCAGCUCUAAAAAGACAAAAAAAAGUAUCAUUUAUGUUCAAAUAAGUUGUUGUUGAUAAUAUCUAACUUGGAAAAGAUGGUUUUUGUUUGAUCAGAUACUUUCCUCAAGCAGCAAAGCAGGGCAAUAAUAGAGGCCAACAAUUUUUGUUUCUAGAGUUCAGGUUAUUAACAGCCUGGCUUUUUACCAGGCAAAUUAGAACUUGCAGUAUGGGAUGGAGUUCCCGGGUGGCCUAUUGAGUGAAGGAGCUAGUGUUGUCACUGCUGUGGCUCAGGUUACUGCUGUGUGUGGGUUUGAUCCCUGGCCAAGGAACUUCUGCAUGCCAUGGGUG